UUUGAUCUCAGGGUGAUAGGAUAAAACGGCUUUUGAAGCUGGCUUUUGAAGAUUUCACGACCCACUGCUUAAGGCAAAGGAGGGAUGACUUCGCGAGAGAUGGCAGGAAUCAUGAGUACCAUGUCCCAUGGCCUAUUUUCUUAUUCAUGAGGAGAGGUUUUCUGGAAACAUGUUAACACUCUGGGUACAAACUUUGUAACUAGUAGCAUAUGCAAUACACACAGAAAGUCAGCACACAGUGGAUUAGUAAUAAUGAAAUCUAAUGAAUAAACAGAUAAGUGAUAUAUUUAAAUGAUACAUGGCUAUAUAUGGCCCUUAUCAGUAUAUGUUAAAAAGCAAGCUUCAGUACUACAGAGGGAGAAAAUACUUAUCAAAUUUAUAAUUUUCACUUCCAUUUAAAUGUUUCCAGGGUCCACUGUUAAUAGUGUCUACAUACUCACAUUAGUAACUGCUCUUUGAAAUGCAUCCACUGUGACUGGGAUCUACUGGCCUGCAUCUCUUUUCUGGGAUUAGAUAGGUACCUUCAUAAAUAAUAUUUGGUGACAGCAAAGGCAAAGGAAAAAAAAUGGUCAAUAAGUUGCUAUCUCUGGGGAAGAUGGUAUACUGAGUCCUUUAUCUCCCUUCCGCCUUUCUUUCUCUCCUUUCCUAAAGGAGGUUCAUAUAGAUACAUC
rnacentral:lncRNA from 1 species